rnacentral:rRNA from 2 species
UUAAGUAGACCGCCUGGGGAGUACGGCCGCAAGGUUAAAACUCAAAUGAAUUGACGGGGGCCCGCACAAGCGGUGGAGCAUGUGGUUUAAUUCGAUGCAACGCGAAGAACCUUACCUGGUCUUGACAUCCACGGAAGUUUUCAGAGAUGAGAAUGUGCCUUCGGGAACCGUGAGACAGGUGCUGCAUGGCUGUCGUCAGCUCGUGUUGUGAAAUGUUGGGUUAAGUCCCGCAACGAGCGCAACCCUUAUCCUUUGUUGCCAGCGAUUCGGUCGGGAACUCAAAGGAGACUGCCAGUGAUAAACUGGAGGAAGGUGGGGAUGACGUCAAGUCAUCAUGGCCCUUACGACCAGGGCUACACACGUGCUACAAUGGCGCAUACAAAGAGAAGCGACCUCGCGAGAGCAAGCGGACCUCAUAAAGUGCGUCGUAGUCCGGAUUGGAGUCUGCAACUCGACUCCAUGAAGUCGGAAUCGCUAGUAAUCGUGGAUCAGAAUGCCACGGUGAAUACGUUCCCGGGCCUUGUACACACCGCCCGUCACACCAUGGGAGUGGGUUGCAAAAGAAGUAGGUAGCUUAACCUUCGGGAGGGCGCUUACCACUUUGUGAUUCAUGACUGGGGUGAAGUCGUAACAAGGUAACCGUAGGGGAACCUGCGGUUGGAUCACCUCCUUACCUUAAAGAAGC